rnacentral:misc_RNA from 1 species
GAUGAAGAACGCAGCGAAAUGCGAUAAGUAGUGUGAAUUGCAGAAUUCAGUGAAUCAUCGAAUCUUUGAACGCACAUUGCGCCCUUUGGUACUCCUUAGGGCAUGCCUGUUCGAGCGUCAUUUCAACCCUCAAGCCCUGCUUGGUGUUGGGCGUUUGUCCUGCCUCCGCGCGGGACUCGCCUCAAAGACAUUGGCGGCCGGUUUCCCUUUGCAGGCCACGAGCGCAGCACAGCGAGCGCUCUACGUGGACGCGGGGUCGGCGCACCAGAAGCCCUCUUUCUCGAAUUUUGACCUCGGAUCAGGUAGGGAUACCCGCUGAACUUAAGCAUAUAAUAAGCGGAGGA